CUCACCAUCCAGCCUUGGCUUGGAGCUCACAGAGAUCCACCUGCCCUCUGCUUCCAGAGUGCGGGGAUUAGAGGUUGUGAGCCAACCGCCAUGCCCCACUCCUCAGGUGGGUUAGAGAGAUGACCGAGAGUUCCUCCCCAGAGAUCCACCGAGAAAAGACUGUUCCGGGCAGAGAGAACAGACAGAGUCCCAGAGGUGAGAUCCUUCCCCGAGGGUGGCAAGGACAGGAGAGCUUGGUCAGUUCCUGAUCAGUACCUGAGGAGGAGGAAACAGGAAGUGAACUAUCCCAGGGGGCGUGACUUGAGCAUAAAUGACCCCCCCCAAGCCCGCCUCCACAAUGACACACUUCCUCCAACAAGGACACACCUCCAGGAAGUGCCACUCCCUCUAUACCAAGCAUUCAAACCCGUGAGUCUACGGGGGCCAUGCCUACUCAAACCACCACAGGCCCUAUGUUGGGCCAAGCGAGGGCGGAAGAGGCCCUGAGGAGGGAGUCAUGGCCCGGGCAAUGUGGUGGAGAGGCUGAAGAGCUGGGCUGCGGGCUCUGCAGGAAGCUGGUCCUCAUGCUAAGACAGAGCCGGCGAGGAGCGGCGCAGAGCCGGCGAGGAGCGGCGCAGAGCCGGCGAGGAGCGGUGCAGAGCCGGCCAUCUGGCCUGGAGAAGUCUCACUGCUGGGAGAGCGUGGCUCCAUCCCAGCAACAGUAACCCGGGUCCUACGGAAGAACGCCACGGACUCGCUCACCGUGUGCUGGGGCCAUCCCCUGUCACAGCAACCCUGAAAGCUCUGAGCUCUUGUCCCCAUUCUCCAGGCCAGGAGACCCCGCGAGUGUUGGGAAAGCACCAGGGCACUCCUCUGAAGAGCGGGAAAUCGAUGGAUGCCGAAGAGCGGGUUACAAAAGCCACAAGUGCAGAAGGAGGAAUGCAAACCUCCCGGCCCGCAUCCCUCAGUGACCUUCCUGUUAGCACAUACGGGCUGUGUGGCCACAUCCUCUGUGUCUGACCUGUCACCCCCACGGAGACGCCCGGCGGCUGCACAGUGACCGGCCGGUCCUGUUGGAUGGAGAAGGCACAGCUUGCACAGCCCUCUCUACCUCUCAGCUACGGGACCUCCGCGGGCGGCCUGUGCUGAGAUCUCUCAGGCUUCUCUCUGUGCACUGCGUCCCCAUGGCUGCCUCUCUCUGUUUGUGGCCAGGAUUCCAAGAGAAGGGUCCAUCCACGGAGCAAGGGCACACCACAGACCCUCGGUCAACCCUGUCCAUCACUGUGUUUUGUUUCUAUUGCUAUAGUAGUAGCUCUGUAAUAGUCUUCUCUGAGUAAACUGCCUGCUCAGCUUCCCUUAAAGAAGGCUGUAGCAAGCGCUGGUGCCAAGAAA